rnacentral:rRNA from 1 species
AACGAACGCUGGCGGCAUGCCUAACACAUGCAAGUCGAACGAGACCUUCGGGUCUAGUGGCGCACGGGUGCGUAACGCGUGGGAACCUGCCCUUAGGUUCGGAAUAACUCCCCGAAAGGGGUGCUAAUACCGGAUAAUGUCUUCGGACCAAAGAUUUAUCGCCUUUGGAUGGGCCCGCGUUGGAUUAGCUAGUUGGUAGGGUAAAAGCCUACCAAGGCGACGAUCCAUAGCUGGUCUGAGAGGAUGGUCAGCCACACUGGGACUGAGACACGGCCCAGACUCCUACGGGAGGCAGCAGUGGGGAAUAUUGGACAAUGGGCGAAAGCCUGAUCCAGCAAUGCCGCGUGAGUGAUGAAGGCCUUAGGGUUGUAAAGCUCUUUUACCCGGGAUGAUAAUGACAGUACCGGGAGAAUAAGCGCCGGCUAACUCCGUG